rnacentral:lncRNA from 1 species
GGGUUGAUGAUAACAUUCAACCAUAUGGGUACCUGCCGGGGAAUGGAACUUUCUUCGUUACAUCGGGAACUUCUUAAAAUCGGGUUUCAUUAGAUCGAGCUUUAUAUAUAUAUUCACUGCAAUUAGGUAUGAUUGAGUCAAAGCACAGUGAGGAUAUAUAAUUACGAGGGUCUGUAGAUCAUCACUAAAAUAGGAUAAAUUUUUUAUCUGUGCUACAUGUGCCAUAAGUGAGAACGAGGGCUAUUGCUGAUUUAUUUCCUGUGAAUGCAAGAAAAUAAGCAUUUUCGUGAGGUUAUUUGUUUUUUUAAGACGCCCUAAUUUUUCAGAAACAUCCUUUUAACAGCUGUGCAUGAGUGGGUUUAUGGCAUUGUUUAUAAAACAUGGCAGCUGGCAAGAUGUUAUAUAGUUGCAAGAAAAAAAAUGCACAUUCAUUUGAACAAAGGUGCUAAUUUUUUAUUGUGUGUUGAGGUGUAAUAUUUGGUUUACUUGUUCAUUACACAAUCUUAUGAUUAAGUCAAUCUAUUUAGCACAUUUAGAAAGUUCUACGGACGUUUCUCAUUUUGCCUUAGACAUAAUAAAGGGACACUAAAGAGCAAACAAAAACCAGUUCAGAUUUAAUGUAUUCUUUAAAAAAUAUAUUUUCAUUAAUUUGGUGGAGAAGUGGUUGAUUGCUAAUGGAGAAAAUGAAGGUCAAGCUUUCCUUUCUUGAGUUUUGUGUGGGAACCUCAAUGCUGGCGCGUCACUAUGAUGUUAUGAACUGCAAAGUAUUUUCUUUAAUUUAGAUUGUUUUAGUGCAGGGAUAGUUAUUAAAACUUGCUAUGUUGAGGUUUUGGCUCCUUUGGAAAGCCAAUAUGAUCUUCCAUAAUCUAUAAAAUAUCAACUAGACUCAAGCCGAAGCUGCCAAAUAUGUGACAUCAUGGUGAUCUGUUGCAGGAGCACUUACUUUGGUCAAAUAUGACAUAGCAAGCAUUUUCUCAUGAUAAGCUUAGCUGUCAUAUUAUUGCAGAAGCAUAAUUUACUAACGCAACUUAAGUUAAUGUUCCUUUAAUGUCAAUUUUUAAAGGAGUGCUGACACAAAAAUUUGGUGUCCUCCUUUUCUUGCUUUUUUAGGUAGCUGUCGACUCCAUAGUUUCAGUACUAAGCCUUAAUUCCUCUAGGGCACCACAAAUGAAUCAUUACAGCACCUUUUGUACGGCCUGCCCAAGACACUCGUCAAGCGCAGCAUUUGCGUCAGGCAUGAAAAAGGUUGCUUCUCCUGUCGCCGAAAGUGUAGGUGGUGGGGUGUGGUGGUCGAAGGGCAUACAAUAACUGUGGUGGCUGCCAAACUGCCAGAGCUGUCAAACUGGCCCCUCUGAUUGGUCACAUCUCUUGAAAAUGCAGGAGGACACGCUCUCUCCCCUAGUGUCCAGCCAUGGCCACAGUGUGUGGCUGCAUCGAUCAGUAGUAUCUGGUACCACAAGACCACCACAGUAGGUUUCGGUGACGAAGUAGGUAACCUUUUUCAUAUCCGAAGCCACGCUGCUUUUGGCGGGCAUUUUGAAAUGGUCGUAAGAAACUUUAACGUAAUUAAUUAUUUGCUGCACUCUCAGGGAAUUGAGACCCCAUAACGUAAUUACUGGGUUGAGGGCUAUUGAAUAAAGUAAUAAAAAUGGCAAACAAUUUCUGUCAGUACUGCUUUAAAGGGUAAAACAUAAAAUUACAUUGAGCAUUUUAGCACAGUUUUGAAUGUUUAAACAAAUGUCUGAAGAACUAGCUUUCGUUGUGAUGAGCAAGCUGAUUUGGCAUGGUGCCAAUAUCUUCUAUAGAUGUUGUCUAUGUAUUGCCCAUCGUCAGUGCUAUUGGGCUAGGAAUUAUAAGACAAGACAGGCUAUAUUUUUGCACGGCAGCCUGUUAACAGGAUGUUGGCCUUUCUGCUACGUGGGCCAAGCUGUGUUGUAAAGUGUAUGCACAAGAAAAGGUACUACAUAAUUUGUUUGUCUUCCAUCCUCAGCUAAUGGAUGUUUCUGGCUUACUACAAUGUUGUGCAUGCAAUAAAAUGCCAGAUUGGGGACUGGUAUUUUCAUGGUACCCGCUAAUUUUGUUGUCAUGGACCUGAAUGGGCAGUUCAGAUAGUGAACUGCAGUCACAUUUGAUGCUAACUUUUCAGGGGAAGUCUGUCUAGAGAGGCACAUGCUUUCUGUAAACAUGCUCUUGACUAGGGACUUUGCACCUUUUUUCACUGCUUGGUUUGCACUUUGUCUAAUGAUGUAGGCAGCACCAGUUUGUUUCCUUGUCUUUUAUUUUUCUCUAUGGAUAUGCUUAUGACAUUUAUAACUGACAUAAACAUGUUUAUUCAGUAAUCAGUGUUGCACAAAUUUUUGAGCCACAUCUUGUCACCAUGGCUAAGGAACACAAUAUAGUACAUUUUAAUGCUGGUCAGCAAUUGGUGUGGAUAUUCUUCAUGUUGUGCAUUUUAGAAACUGUUCCUUUAGAAAUGAAACAGUGGUGUUAUUACGAAAACUGCCUUCCUGUGAUUGUAAAACUGCUGCUGCUUCAGCAAAACCUUUAAGAUAACAAGCCAGUAUUUUUUCUGCUUGGAGAAAGCAGCACACAGAUUUCUAAAGCAUUACUCGCUAAUACUAUAAAGUCAUUGUUUGUAACAUGACUGCAAAAAUAAUCUCUUAAGUAACAACCAAAAUGUGAAACACGUGCAUUUUGACCUAUGUAAACAGUGACAUAACUAGGCAUUUUGGCAGGAAUGGGCCUAGGAAUGUGUUUAUGACAUGGUGAACUUCGUAAUUCAAAGAAUUACUGACCUCACUUCAGUGUAAGGUAGGAAAUGGGGUGGGAGCUCAAGUACUAGUGACAUGUCUUUGGCUUCACACUUGUUUGGAGGGUUAUUUUGCCAUCCCCAUGAUGCUUUGCAAACACAGAUCAACACAAGCAACCUGUUAGCCAGUUGUAUGAACAGUUACAGCUAUCUUAGCAUUUUUGAAGCUCAUUUGUUUGAACAGCUCAGAUUUCUGUUUAUUAAACAUUUAUUUUGAAAUCUGACACAUUUAACUGGUAGGAUCCGAACUUACGUUGAUCUGGUGACUCAAGUUAGACAGGAGAAGUUAAUCAUCCUUGAAGGAUGUCAAUUAAAUUAUUUAAUGUUUCAUUGUUUGCCUUGCAAACACUGUUCUGUAGCCAUAUUUAAUUUCUUUUUCUUUGUUUCUUUUUUUUUUUCUUAGCAAAUGAUGGUUGCUUGUAAAGUGCUGUAGUGCCCUUUUUCAUGCCAAAGUGCAGUCAAGAUACAAAAGCAUUGUUGUUUGCUCUAAAAUACCUCUGAGAAUUGAAGAAACUGACAGUUUUAUUUAGUAAACUAGGAAACGAAUGAGUUUCUUUUUGAAAGUAUAUAGCUUUAAUGGCACUCUCAGAUUUGUUCAUUGUGGCAUUUAAUUGUCUCAGGUCUCUUUAUUAUUCCUUCUUAUGAGUUCUUACAUUUAUUUUUAUGUCAUGGUGCUUUAUCAUUGUUGCUAUGAAAAAGAUUUUUCACACUGCACCUUUUGGGCAUCUAAAGGAGCACUGACAUCAAAAUUAUUGCUUUUCUUUUUUCUGCUUGACAUGAUGCCACAGUUAACAUGUAUUACAAAGAAAGACUUGUUGUUCAUUGACAGAUGUCACAGUUUCUUAUUAUCAAGCUUCUUCUUAUUAUUUUUCUUUUAUCAAGCUUGAAACCAUGCCUGAAACACAUCACCAGCUGUGAUUAGCAUGUAUGUGAAAGUUAUGAGAGAUCUGGUGUUGUUUAUGCAGUUCUAGUGAACAUUUCACUGCAUAUUUCUUGCUAUAUAUUGUAGUGCAGUGUAUGCAUGCUUGCAUCCCUUGCAUGUCACAGUGGCCAUCCUUGUGCUCCUUUUGGCAUUUCUACACCCAGUUUGCAAUGUCAUGAGCUUGAGAAGCACAAAAGCAUGUUGUGAAAAAAUGCUUUUGGUUGGUUACAGAUUGCCAUUGCCAAAUUAUGGACUGCGGUGCAUAAUCGGUGAUUACAGGGAAAAAAGUACAGUCAAAAUUUUGAUGUCGGUACUCCUCUAACAGUGUCUUCUGUUUAUGAAGUUGAUGAGCUUACAAGCUCAAAGUUUAUAACAGCUGUGUGAGGGAAAGCAUGCUCAUGUUAAUUAUAUAUUUUUUCUGUCACUUUUUGACAAAUAAAAUCGUUUGUACUCUUUCUUUCUGUGUGUGAGAUCCUAAUAUUUUUGUGGAUAGACACACAAGCCCCAACUAGAUGUCCUUGGAGCUUGCCAUAAUUCUAGCUUGGUGUGCAGCAGUUAUUCUUGACUACUUGUUUUCCAUUUUAAAUCCCACUGAGUGCCUGAAGUUUGAAACAUCAAUUAAAAGGUGAGAAAGAAAUGUUUGCAUGAGUUGACAUUUUGUGCAUAAUGACAUUUUAUCUGCAUUCCAUUUCAGAUAUGCCUCUGUGAGAAGCCAUCUUCAAAGGAAUUGCACUUUGUCCAAAUGAUAGCACAAUUGGCAGCAGCACCCAGUGAAUACGCCUUUGAAGUUUAAGCUGAUAAAGUGUGUCUGCAAUUAGAAACACAUUUGUGUAUUCAUUGUGGUUAGUAACGUUGUUGAAGAGUGCUGUCUCUUCUGCAUGCAGUUGCUCUGCUACAAGCAUGUACCUUUUGACGUCCUCCAAAGUUUCAGUGUGUGGAGCUGAGUUUUUACGAUGGUUGAAAGUUGAUGCAGCUCUUUCAUAUGUAUUGGAUUUUCCCAAUGAAGACUUGGUUUGCUCUGUACUAUCUGCUGCAAAACAUCCAAAGUACUACAGAAAAAUUGAAUGUUUCAUAAUGAGAAUGCAUGAUGACUGCUGGCACUGCACUAUGGGUGUAGAAAUGUAGUUAAGAUACCUCUAUACUGCUAAGAUAAGCAAAGAGCUGGCAACCAUAGCACUGGUUUAAUGUCCGGUUUGGUCAUAACCUCUUUGGUGUGGAAUUUUUUGCAACGAAUAACACAUCAUAUUUUGCAGAAAGAGAAGAAUAUAGCAUGCUUAUAACAUCAUUGUAGUCUCAUGUAAGUGUCUGUAUACCUAAAUAUUUCAAAAGGUAAUUAUUCUUCUAAUCAUGGAAUUUUAUUGAGUGCCCAGUGAAUCCAUUUUCCGUGCUUGUGCUGCACUUUUUGGUGGGUGUUAAGAUUUUUGACAAAACACUCCUCACUAAGCACUUUGUUUGUCAACGUGUGAAUAGCAAUACCAUACAGAUCAAAUAGCCUUCAAAUUCAUCCACGGCAGAAAACUUGUAUAGUAGAAAUACCACCAUAUGUAUCUGUUUCCACAUAACGCAGAAGGUUGCAUGCAACAUUUAAAAAUAUAUUGUCAACUUCUCUCGGUGUAGUGUUCUGACUAGUAGGUUCACUGAAAUAUCUGACUUGGCAUUCACAUCAACUGCACUAAAGGCUUGCAUUUACUUGCUUUGGGUAUAUGCUUGCCUUUGAGCAGUUUUCAUAUUAGUUUAAAUAAUGGACUGUGAAACAUAGUAAUAAAAUGUGGUAAGUGCAAAUGAUAAAAAUGUGUCAGUGGCUGGUCUUGUGUUCUUGCCCUUAACAAUUCUGUUAAAAAUAAAAUUUUGACCUAAAGUUGAUUAUACAUUUUGCAUCAUUAUAUUAUGGAUAAUGGAAAGUACCUUCUUUGUCUGCAUUUUGAUUCAGGAGAGAGAAAGACAGGCUCUGCUUACAUUUCUUGCACGAAAUUGUCUGAAGUAUCAGCCUAUGCCUUGAGUCUUACUUAAAACUAGUACAUUGAAGGAAAUGGUUCAUUAUUGGUACCUUUCUAUUUUUCUACCAUUGUUCUUGAGGUAUGCUUCACAAGUGCAUUAUUGAAUUAAAGAUAGGGAGAUAAGAGCUGUGAUUUAAUUAAGGUACCUUUAAGGUGUGCUACCUAUACAAAGUCCUCAGUUGAAGCAUCAGGUCAGCCUUAAUCAUGAUUUUGAUUAAGGUUGUUAGUAGGGAGACUGGCCUUCAUGUGUGUCGAGCAAUUGAUCUAAAUCUGUUGUAUUAAUUUUUUUAAAUUGUAUGUUUUUGUUGCGUCAUGAAGUACAAUAAAACACUGACAGAAGGAAAAAAAAAUUUCAGA